UACUGAAUCUACUAUUUUAAAAACUGUUUUGUGUAAAAAAGUAUUUUUUAAAACCAUCAAAGUCAUUAGCGGUUCAAACUGCAAAUGGUGAUUUAAAAAAAUAAUAGUCUUACGAAAAAUAAAUGAAGUAAAGAUCUACAUUUAUAAUACAUUUAUAAACUGGCUUUUAAAUAACGAGGAGUUAAGCCAAAAGAAAUUUCUGCUGCUCGCAACACGAGACCAAUUCUUUUUCUACUUUGUCUGGCAAUAUCUGUUGACUUUUAUAUCCUAUAACAUUCAUGCAGAUGGAGUUUUGAUUUUUUAUAUCCUAUAACAUUCAUGCAGACGGAGUUUUGAUUUUUGUCAAUUAGAUCUGUUAAAGAGUCAUGCGAUGGGUUUAAGACUGUUUACCUGAUUCCUACAGCAAAAAAGAACUUUAAAAUGCUGUUGGCAAUAAUCUAAAGCCCACACCUGAUCUAAAAGAAGGUAAAUGACGUCAAUUGUUCGAACAGUCGAUUCUGGGAAAUUAACAAUUGAAGAAUUUUAAAAAAAUUAUAAUUUAUGAAACUUAGCACAAUUAUAUUAUUAAAAAGUUUGCGCAAAUUUUUAUUUUUUACUUAUUCUCAAAAAGUUAAGUGAAAACAUAAAUUUUAACCUUACGUUUGAGUAAAGCCAUGUAAAGACACGUAUUAUACAGGGUUGCCACUCAACCUGGAAAACCUGGAAAUAGCAUGAAUCCCAGGGAAAACCUGGAAAACUCAGGGUUUUU